GGUUAAGCGACUAAGCGUACACGGUGGAUGCCCUGGCAGUCAGAGGCGAUGAAGGACGUGCUAAUCUGCGAUAAGCGUCGGUGAGGUGAUAUGAACCGUUAUAACCGGCGAUUUCCGAAUGGGGAAACCCAGUGUGUUUCGACACACUAUCAUUAACUGAAUCCAUAGGUUAAUGAGGCGAACCGGGGGAACUGAAACAUCUAAGUACCCCGAGGAAAAGAAAUCAACCGAGAUUCCCCCAGUAGCGGCGAGCGAACGGGGAGGAGCCCAGAGUCUGAAUCAGUGUGUGUGUUAGUGGAAGCGUCUGGAAAGGCGUGCGAUACAGGGUGACAGCCCCGUACACAAAAAUGCACAUAUUGUGAGCUCGAUGAGUAGGGCGGGACACGUGGUAUCCUGUCUGAAUAUGGGGGGACCAUCCUCCAAGGCUAAAUACUCCUGACUGACCGAUAGUGAACCAGUACCGUGAGGGAAAGGCGAAAAGAACCCCGGCGAGGGGAGUGAAAAAGAACCUGAAACCGUGUACGUACAAGCAGUGGGAGCCUCUUAAUGGGGUGACUGCGUACCUUUUGUAUAAUGGGUCAGCGACUUAUAUUCUGUAGCAAGGUUAACCGAAUAGGGGAGCCGAAGGGAAACCGAGUCUUAACUGGGCGUUAAGUUGCAGGGUAUAGACCCGAAACCCGGUGAUCUAGCCAUGGGCAGGUUGAAGGUUGGGUAACACUAACUGGAGGACCGAACCGACUAAUGUUGAAAAAUUAGCGGAUGACUUGUGGCUGGGGGUGAAAGGCCAAUCAAACCGGGAGAUAGCUGGUUCUCCCCGAAAGCUAUUUAGGUAGCGCCUCGUGAAUUCAUCUCCGGGGGUAGAGCACUGUUUCGGCAAGGGGGUCAUCCCGACUUACCAACCCGAUGCAAACUGCGAAUACCGGAGAAUGUUAUCACGGGAGACACACGGCGGGUGCUAACGUCCGUCGUGAAGAGGGAAACAACCCAGACCGCCAGCUAAGGUCCCAAAGUCAUGGUUAAGUGGGAAACGAUGUGGGAAGGCCCAGACAGCCAGGAUGUUGGCUUAGAAGCAGCCAUCAUUUAAAGAAAGCGUAAUAGCUCACUGGUCGAGUCGGCCUGCGCGGAAG
rnacentral:rRNA from 1 species